rnacentral:rRNA from 1 species
GACGAACGCUGGCGGCGUGCUUAACACAUGCAAGUCGAACGAUGAAGAAGAGAAACGCGAAUUUCGGUUCAAAUUUUACUUCGGAUUAGUGGCAGACGGGUGAGUAACGCGUGAGCAACCUACCUCUUACAAAGGGAUAGCCUCGGGAAACCGUGACUAAUACCAUAUGACACAUUCAUAAGGCAUCUUAAGACUGUUAAAGAUACGCCGGUAAGAGAUGGGCUCGCGUCCCAUUAGCUAGUUGGUGAGGUAAAGGCCCACUAAGGCGACGAUGGGUAACCUGGCUAAGAGGGUCAACGGUAACAUUGGAACGGGGACACGGUCGAAACUCCUACGGGAGGCAGGAAUGAGUAAUAUUGCACAAUGGAGGGAACUCUGAUGCAGCUACGCUGCGUGAGCGAUGAAGGAAUGCGUGACAUAAAGCUCUGUUCUAUGGGAAUAAAAGGACUGUACCAUAGGAGAAAGCCCCGGCUAAAUACGUG